rnacentral:rRNA from 1 species
UACGGAGGAUGCAGGCGUUAUCCGGAUUUAUUAGGUUUAAAGGGUGCGUAGGCGGCAAUAUAAGUCGGAGGUGAAAUCUUACAGCUUAACUAUAAGUUUGCCUUCGAUACUGUAGUGCUAGAGUACGAACGAGGUAGGCGGAAUGUGCAGUGUAGCGGUGAAAUGCAUAGAUAUUGCACAGAACAUCGAUUGCGAAGGCAGCUUACUAGGCCGUAACUGACGCUGAUGCACGAAAGCGUGGGGAUCAAACAGGAUUAGAUACC